GAUGAACGCUGGCGGCGUGCCUAAUACAUGCAAGUCGAGCGAACAGACGAGGAGCUUGCUCCUCUGACGUUAGCGGCGGACGGGUGAGUAACACGUGGAUAACCUACCUAUAAGACUGGGAUAACUUCGCGAAACCGGAGCUAAUACCGGAUAAUAUAUUGAACCGCAUGGUUCAAUAGUGAAAGACGGUUUUGCUGUCACUUAUAGAUGGAUCCGCGCCGCAUUAGCUAGUUGGUAAGGUAACGGCUUACCAAGGCGACGAUGCGUAGCCGACCUGAGAGGGUGAUCGGCCACACUGGAACUGAGACACGGUCCAGACUCCUAAGGGAGGCAGCAGUAGGGAAUCUUCCGCAAUGGGCGAAAGCCUGACGGAGCAACGCCGCGUGAGUGAUGAAGGUCUUCGGAUCGUAAAACUCUGUUAUUAGGGAAGAACAAAUGUGUAAGUAACUAUGCACGUCUUGACGGUACCUAAUCAGAAAGCCACGGCUAACUACGUG
rnacentral:rRNA from 1 species